AAAAAAUUUAUCAAUGUUAUUGAUCGACUUUGGGUUUGGGCUUCGGGAGACAGCGGCGACGCGGAUGGGAGAGUGCCGGUGAUCGGGUCGAGGUACUGCGUAGAAGCUCUCGGGCUGUCUAUUAAAUCGCCAUGGCGCUCGUGGUACCAUGAUCAUCAGGUUGCGGGGAGGAUAGUGGAAUAUGAGGGAGGAUUGGCACUAGUAACAGUAAGAGGUGCUGGUCACUUGGUGCCUCUGGACAAGCCCAGUGAGGCCCUUGCUCUCCUUCACUCUUUCUUGACCGGUCAAGAUCUCCGCAGGCAGAGAUAAAAAAAUUUAUUCUUUUUAUCCUGCUAUUUUCAUUUUCCCUGAGGGACAGAGUUAAAACAAAUAAUAAAAUGUGUCUGAUUUUCAUAUAUUUUGAAAGGAAGUGAUGGUAAUUUCUACGUUUGCA